rnacentral:rRNA from 1 species
UACGGAGGAUGCGAGCGUUAUCCGGAUUUAUUGGGUUUAAAGGGUGCGUAGGUGGUGAUUUAAGUCAGCGGUGAAAGUUUGUGGCUCAACCAUAAAAUUGCCGUUGAAACUGGGUUACUUGAGUGUGUUUGAGGUAGGCGGAAUGCGUGGUGUAGCGGUGAAAUGCAUAGAUAUCACGCAGAACUCCGAUUGCGAAGGCAGCUUACUAAACCAUAGCUGACACUGAAGCACGAAAGCGUGGGGAUCAAACAGG